GUUUUACUGCGAGGGGAGGCGUGACAGGAAAGCAGCAGGGUUCCUGUGCUACAGUAACCAUUUGUUUUGGUCUGGCAGAAUGCUGCCAUCCUGUUUAGUACAUUGGGACUGUAGAAGUAUGAUAGCUCAAAUACAUAUUGUUUCUUUCCGUGGACAUUCGACUAACAAACAUGAAAGUGUGCAAACGUAGAACACUGUAAAAUGUUGAGAUGAAAUGGCACAAUCCGAAAACUAAAUAAGGCGUUUUUAAAAACCUUAAACUUAAUAUUAAUGUAAUGUUCAGUCGUACUUAAUAAAGUGUAGUGUGAUUUUCUACAUUUGCUUGUAUCACAGAUGUUAGUUGUAUACUUGAAAGUAAUUGAAACGAAUGAGAAUCUCAACCUCACAGUCUAAUUAUGGAUUAUUUAUUACUCUUAUGUUUUAUUAUGAAUCAAUCUGUGAAAGAUGGAAUGGCUUUUUCAGCCUCUCUAAUCAUUAGCUCAAUCUUUACAACACAUCAGGCCUAUAUUGGGAGUAGUAUAAAAACUAUAGCCAAAAAAGUAUAGUGUAUAUAUUUUAGUAUUUGAAUUCUGUAAUGAAAAUCACUCCGUAUAAUACAAGGAUACUUUGCCUAAAUUAUUUCAUUACAAAAUGCUAGUGAGGAGGUUUUGCUCAUGAACGUCAAACCCCCCCAGACUGGGAGAUAGUGUCUUGCUACAGUCAGAUAUAUCUGGACUAGGGGUUGUAGGGAGUCUUGCUACAGUCAGAUAUAUCUGGACUAGGGGUUGUAGGGUGUCUUGCUACAGUCAGAUAUAUCUGGACUAGGGGUUGUAGGGAGUCUUGCUACAGUCAGAUAUAUCUGGACUAGGGUUUGUAGGGUGUCUUGCUACAGUCAGAUAUAUCUGGACUAGGGGUUGUAGAGUGUCUUGCUACAGUCAGAUAUAUCUGGACUAGGGGUUGUAGGGAGUCUUGCUACAGUCAGAUAUAUCUGGACUAGGGGUUGUAGGGAGUCUUGCUACAGUCAGAUAUAUCUGGACUAGGGGUUGUAGGGUGUCUUGCUACAGUCAGAUAUAUCUGGACUAGGGGUUGUAGGGAGUCUUGCUACAGUCAGAUAUAUCUGGACUAGGGGUUGUAGGGUGUCUUGCUACAGUCAGAUAUAUCUGGACUAGGGGUUGUAGAGUGUCUUGCUACAGUCAGAUAUAUCUGGACUAGGGGUUGUAGGGAGUCUUGCUACAGUCAGAUAUAUCUGGACUAGGGGUUGUAGGGAGUCUUGCUACAGUCAGAUAUAUCUGGACUAGGGGUUGUAGGGUAAAUGAGGGGCUGUACUGUAGAGGCAGAGAGGAGAGAGCCUUUCCAAGGUUAGUGUCCCCACCCCCACACUGCAGAUAGCAGUCUUUAACAGAUAAUGUAGGAAUGAAUUUGCCUCAUCGCCCAGAGAAACACAACAGAGCAUUCAAAGUAAUUAAACGAAAAAAGAUCACCUUGGAUCCAAAGAAGGUGAAUAGAUUUCAGGAUGGGGCAGAAUGAUACAAAGAUAAAAACAAUUGAAUAGCAAAGGUAUGGAGAAACAAUUAGAAGGAAAGCUAAUCAAACUCUCAGUGCUCUUUGGCAGAAGCUGUUGUCUUGGAAUGGGGUGCCCUUGCAUGUUGCUAUAACAAUGGAGCAGCAACAUCAUUCUCAGGCGGAGGUGUGUCUCUUCUGUUUUAUUCACCUUUUCUCAAGGAAAUGGUCGACGUCUCUCUCUCUCUCUCUCUCUCUCUCUCUCUCUCUCUCUUUCUUUCAAAGUGUUUCUCCUGAUGUCUGUUAUUCCUUCCUCCCCUGGUUCCCAACACUGGGGAGGCCUGUAAUUGGCCCACAAUGUUUCAUAUCAGUACAGUUCCCUGUAAAACAAUGUGAGAUUCUAGAUUCUAGACGUGUUUGAACUGUUGUUUGUUUCUUAACACCUGUUUCCCCCACCUGUAUCCCAAUGUAAAGGAUGCAAGAUGUCUCAUCAGAAAUGAUGCCAUCUGCCAAUACGUUUUAGAGCUGUUUAUGGAUGGUCUCAGCCAUCUCAGUCUUUUCCCCUCUCCCCUACUUGCCUAUUGUAUCCUUCACAAGGUGAUUACUGCUUCACCACAAUGCAUAGUGACGCAAAGGUCCUUCUCUUUGUCUCUCUCGCUGGUUUUGGAUUGGGUGCGUGUCUAUUGCUUCGGUGACUGUUCUGGCUUUUCUGCCUGUCUGCUUGACUUAGAGGGGCCCUGGUCAAAAGUAGUGCACUUUGUAGGGAAUAGUGCGCCAGAUGAUGUCUCUGGUUUCUGCUACCUCAGCUUGCCUGGUGGAAGACUGUUGGGGAGGGUAUAUGGGGUGGGGUAGUAUAGGCUCAAGGGCUUUCUGUACAGAUUGACAAGAACGUUUGGUAUUUUGUUGGUUGCGAGUGACGUUACAGGGAUGAGGGUCAAUUGGGUAGUGAUGAACCGUCCAUAUGCUUGACUAUUGGAAAGGGGGUCGGGAAGCGGUGGUCGGGAAGAUGGGGGGGGGUAACCCCUUCGCUUGUAACAUUUCGGGGUUUCUAUGACAAACAAAAAACAUCACAUUUGUUUGUGAAUUUCCAGUUGAAGUUGAUAAUGCCUGCCGUGUUUCUAGCUUUCGAACCGUCCGUUUUGUUUCAACGCUGGUUUCUUUGACAACCACAAGCCUUCUGUAUUCUUCUGUAUUCUUUGGUUCUGGUUUGUCGUCGUCGUCGUGUGGAGAUACUAUCAGAUACUGCAGCAGUGUAUUAAAUGGGUUUGACUGAAGAGCAGCUCUGACUCAGGACCACAGAUCAACCAGAUGUCAGAGGGACAUCUGCCAGGUGUUUUAGUUCAGACUUCUAGAGCAGCUCUGACUCAGGACCACAGAUCAACCAGAUGUCAGAGGGACAUCUGCCAGGUGUUUUAGUUCAGACUUCUAGAGCAGCUCUGACUCAGGACCACAGAUCAACCAGAUGUCAGAGGGACAUCUGCCAGGUGUUUUAGUUCAGACUUCUAGAGCAGCUCUGACUCAGGACCACAGAUCAACCAGAUGUCAGAGGGACACCUUCCAGGUGUUUUAGUUCAGACUUCUAGAGCAGCUCUGACUCAGGACCACAGAUCAACCAGAUGUCAGAGGGACAUCUGCCAGGUGUUUUAGUUCAGACUUCUAGAGCAGCUCUGACUCAGGACCACAGAUCAACCAGAUGUCAGAGGGACAUCUGCCAGGUGUUUUAGUUCAGACUUCUAGAGCAGCUCUGACUCAGGACCACAGAUCAACCAGAUGUCAGAGGGACAUCUGCCAGGUGUUUUAGUUCAUACUUCUAGAGCAGCUCUGACUCAGGACCACAGAUCAACCAGAUGUCAGAGGGACAUCUGCCAGGUGUUUUAGUUCAGACUUCUAGAGCAGCUCUGACUCAGGACCACAGAUCAACCAGAUGUCAGAGGGACACCUGCCAGGUGUUUUAGUUCAGACUUCUAGAGCAGCUCUGACUCAGGACCACAGAUCAACCAGAUGUCAGAGGGACAUCUGCCAGGUGUUUUAGAGCAGCUCUGGGAAAGAACAUGUGGCGAAUAAGAUGAACCCUGUUUUACAGUUGAAGAAGAAUUUCCAGUCAUGUACAUUCGUAGAUCAGUACUAAGAAAAGAGAUCUGCCGACCGUCUGUGUGAACCCAAUACUUACUCUCUACUCUGGCCAAAGAGGGAUAUGAUAUCCAUUCUUGAAAGCCAGACUUUGACCACUUUGACUUAGCUCUUCUUUAUACAGCCUUUUGUUAACUAAUUACCACACGAUUUCAGCCAAAUACCUAUUUUCUUUCAGUGCUUUAUAAACAGCAAGGAUUGUAAAAAAUAGAAUGCCAAUUUCACGGGGAAAGGAAUUGAUUUGUUUCAUUGUCUCGUCUAUUGUCAUUGUAUGGUGUUGGUGUGCAACAACUUCAAACAAUAAACCUUACAACGCAGGAUACCUCAGAAUAUAAAUCCAUGUAAAGCUUGACAGCCUCCAUGGCGUUGUUAGUUCCUCUACAUUUUGCCCUCUUGAUGCUCCACGUGCUUUUUACUCUGUUAUUUCCACUUUUAUCCCUCACACGGCAUGUAGCACAUAGUGGACGUGUCAUAGCUUAUUUUUUUUCUUGUUCUGGGGACUUUUUAAGACGGGUCUCUCAUUCAGUCCCUCCCCGGAGCCAGAGAUAAAGAGAGGAGGUGGUGAUUGGGAGUGAAAGGAACACUAAUUCACAUUCUAGAAUUCAUUUUGGGAUCUCGUUUGAUCCUGAAGUCACGAGAGAGAAAAUAUCUUCAUCUAUAUCUGCUGAUUUGAACUGGAGCUCGGUUUCCUCGUCUCUUCUCUUUCAUUAUUUUGAAACUAGAGAUGCUCAGAGGCCGAAGGUCAAUCUGUUAAGUCCUAUAAUCCCCAUUUCUUUCCUUUUGGAUACCUCUUUUUGAUUUAUCAUCUACAUUCUCAUCAUUAAAACUGAAUGUAACGACACAAACUAACCUCACGAUUCUAACUUGACAGAUGGAAGAAAAACAUAUACUAUAUAUGUACAUAUGUAUAACACACAACACACAAUGCAUUGUAUAUAUACAGAUCUCCUAAAGACAGAUACAUACUUAUCUUGUGGAAGGGGAAAAACAACCGUUUCCUUUGUUUGAUUCAGGGAACAAUAGUCCAGUGCGGUAUGUUAGAUAUCACUCCCAUGGCUCUCUUUCUGACUGUAUGUUAGAUAU